GACGAACGCUGGCGGCGUGCCUAACACAUGCAAGUCGAACGGAAAGGCGCUGCUUUUGCGCGGCGCACGAGUGGCGAAGGCGUGUGAAACACACGAGUAUCCCGCCCUUGACUUUGUGAUAACACUAGGAAACAGCGGCUAAUACCCCGGAGGAGCUCCUGAAGCAUGGGGGUCGUUGGAAAGAUUCGGCCGUUGUGGAUCGACUCGCGGCUUACCAGCUAGUUAGUGGGGUAGUGGCUUACCAAGGCUUCGAAGGGUAGCCGGCCUGGGAGCGCGGCCGGGGACAUUGCGACUGCGGUACGGCGCAGUCGGGUACGGGAGGCAGCGGUGGAAAGUAUUGCGCAGUGGGCGGGAGCGUGAUACGGCGGCGCCGCGUGCGGGAAGACGGCUUUCGGGUUGUGAACCGCUUUCGCCUGAGACGAAGCGUGAGUGACGGUAAUGGGUAAAGAAGCACCGGCUAACUACGUG
rnacentral:rRNA from 1 species